UCCUCCUACGUAGUCCCAAUCCACGGAACCCCAAACUGCCACUACGAUCGUCGUGCUAAGCCCUCUUUCCCGUGCUUCUUCUUUAGGGAUUUCUUCUUCUUCAAAUUCACAGGGACAUUACAAGAGGUCAAACUGUCAAAGCCUAGGAGGGACUGGAUUGCAGAUUUGGUCUCCAACAACGACGACUCUGUCCAGAGCUUAUCGAUUUAUAUUGGAGGGGCGUAGCUCUUGGCUGUUCUCCUUAACCGCACUAUUUCGGGCAUUCCGGUUGCUGAUGCGAGCAGAUAAAGCUCUUGCAGCGAUUGGGAGGGCAGGUUCUAUCAGAACUUUGAAUUUGCAAGGAUGUUCUUUAAUUACCGAUGGUGGAUUGACUUCUUUGGCAACAAUGUUUUUGUUAAGGUCUUUGAAAAGUUGGUUCUGGCAUGGUGCGGCCAAAAGUCUGGAGCUAAAUCACAGCCACUCCUUCACCUUACACGUCCAUUGACAAAUCCCUUCACCAUCUCAUUUUUCACAGUCAAGAGCUGAUCUUUUGACACUUGGAUUGGCUGUCACCAAUAUCCUAACCUGUCUCGUAUGGCUGUCAAUCCAACCAAAGUCAAUAUCUGUGGUGGUUUCCCUUAUGCUUUUGAAACCUAGUUUCUCUCUCAUUUUAGUUGGUUGGUCAGGUAAGUCCUGAAGGAGUUAAAUGCCAGAGAAUAUGCCCUCAUCUCCCUGAUUCUGUAGUUUCUUAAUUAAUGUGAGAGCUACCUGGCCAACCUAUCUCUUUAUCCUGGGAAGUCUAAGCUGCCAUUUCAGCCUUCAAAUACACAGCCACUUGGAAAGAAAGGAAUUGCAAUUGUUGGUGGUGACACAAUUAGGGGUUUUACUACUUCUGGUCAGGCGCUUCUCUCUCAGAUUGCUAAUUUUAAACUCUGGUAAUUCAUCAUUGAUUGAGGAGAGUUAAACUGUGUAGCUGCUUUCUUCCUUUUAUUUUUCAUUCCCUUCUUUCGAAUUGUUAAUUCUAGCUAUCAGAGGAUGCUUGGCAUGAUAGAUGUUGGGUAUUAGUGUCGUUCAACUGGGUACAGUUUUUAAUUCUCUUAAAACAUCUCUUUGAUAUCAAAAUUUUAAACUCCGGUAUAUCGUUCUAUGUACCACAGAUUUGUAGUCUGAAAGUUAGCAAUGUAUAUAUUUGACCCUGUCCUUUCCCCUUGCUCCAUGUCUGGAGGUGCCUAUAACAGAAUAGCUUGCGUGGAACAUCAGCGGCAAAACAGAGAUUCAGUUCAACGUCAAAUCCCUAAGCUUGAACAUAGGUUUAAAAUUAUUUUUCUAUUGUGGCUUAUUGCAUGACUAACUUUACCCCAAAUGUGAUAGAUAUAAAUGGUUUCCUCCUGAAAGGGAAAGGAAAAUUAAGACUCAUAUCCACAUUAAGUUAAUUGUGCCUCCAUUUCGAGGGUUUG